rnacentral:rRNA from 1 species
UUGCGCGGAAGGAGCGGCCGAUGUCUGAUUAGCUAGUUGGUGGGGUAAAGGCUUACCAAGGCAACGAUCAGUAGCUGGUCUGAGAGGACGACCAGCCACACUGGGACUGAGACACGGCCCAGACUCCUACGGGAGGCAGCAGUGGGGAAUUUUGGACAAUGGGCGAAAGCCUGAUCCAGCCAUGCCGCGUGAGUGAAGAAGGCCUUCGGGUUGUAAAGCUCUUUUAGUCGGAAAGAAAGAAUCGCAAUAAAUAGUUGCGAUUUAUGACGGUACCGACAGAAAAAGCACCGGCUAACUACGUGCCAGCAGCCGCGGUAAUACGUAGGGUGCGAGCGUUAAUCGGAAUUACUGGGCGUAAAGGGUGCGCAGGCGGUUUUGCAAGUCGGAUGUGAAAGCCCCG